rnacentral:sRNA from 1 species
UUGCCGCAUUCGGUUGGUGUGUAUGCACCAAUGCACCGUUAAUCGUGUUGAGAUCUCGGGCCAUGGACCCUUGGAUGGCUGUGACAUCGAUCCUUGGGCUCUUUUGAUCUGGGGCUUUUUAGUUUUGAACUCUUUAUUUACUCCUGCCACGGUUCUGUGCAGGGAGUUAUGAACCCCGUUAACAUCUACGACGUCGAUGAGGUUUGCAAACCUUGUACAGCCCAUGCCAUUGGACUUUUACUUACGCUCUAUCCAGCUGACACCUCAGCGCCCGUCUCGCGAGAUGUUGCGGCUUGUCACAUCGAGAGUUUCAGAUCCGGACAAAAUCAUCCGGCCACU